ACACAUACGAGGGUCAUGUCCCUCUCAACAUCAUUUUUUUACCCUAAAACCUACACACAGACAACACCAUCGCACACCAUCUCUCGUUGUUUCGAAGAUCGCCAGAGAUUUGGAGAUACGAGGACGUCACCGGAGUGCCGAAACCUUGUCGGAACCAUGAAGAGGUACUGGUGGGAACCCGAAGACGCUGCCGGAGCUACGUAUCCUCGCCAGAGCUCACGUCGGAAGACUAACCGGAGUUCACCGGAGCCGCCUGAGGUUCGCAACGGUACCACGUCAUCGCCAUAGUCUCAUUCGAACCCCUUCACAUUCACCGGAGCUUUACCGGGGUUCGAAGAUCACGUCGGAACUCGGAACUCUCGUCGGAAGACUAACCAGAAUUCACGUUGAAUACAAACCGCCACGUUCGGAUAACCAUACGUUCGUUCUCUUGGAUAUUCUCAAUCUUUACUCGUGCGUUAUUUCAAGGAAUCUCCAAACGCAACCAAUGAUUUGGAUGAUGCAAGGAAUCUAGUAGGACUACCUAGAAACACAUUUAAACUCUAAUACUUGUUGUACUAUAACUUAUUUUCAAACAUGUUGUAAUUGUUUCCAAUCUUUGUAUGAGACCAUUACGCAAUGAAAUGAAAUGAAACUUAAUUA